rnacentral:rRNA from 1 species
UGGACGCAAGUCUGAUGGAGCAACGCCGCGUGAGUGAAGAAGGUUUUCGGAUCGUAAAGCUCUGUUGUUGGUGAAGAAGGAUAGAGGUAGUAACUGGCCUUUAUUUGACGGUAAUCAACCAGAAAGUCACGGCUAACUACGUGCCAGCAGCCGCGGUAAUACGUAGGUGGCAAGCGUUGUCCGGAUUUAUUGGGCGUAAAGCGAGCGCAGGCGGAAAAAUAAGUCUAAUGUGAAAGCCCUCGGCUUAACCGAGGAAUUGCAUCGGAAACUGUUUUUCUUGAGUGCAGAAGAGGAGAGUGGAACUCCAUGUGUAGCGGUGGAAUGCGUAGAUAUAUGGAAGAACACCAGUGGCGAAGGCGGCUCUCUGGUCUGCAACUGACGCUGAGGCUCGAAAGCAUGGGUAGCGAACAGGAUUAGAUACCCUGGUAGUCCAUGCCGUAAACGAUGAGUGCUAAGUGUUGGGAGGUUUCCGCCUCUCAGUGCUGCAGCUAACGCAUUAAGCACUCCGCCUGGGGAGUACGACCGCAAGGUUGAAACUCAAAGGAAUUGACGGGGGCCCGCACAAGCGGUGGAGCAUGUGGUUUAAUUCGAAGCAACGCGAAGAACCUUACCUGGUCUUGACAUCUAGCGCCAAUCGUAGAGAUACGAUGUUCCCUUCGGGGACGCUA